rnacentral:rRNA from 1 species
AUUGAACGCUAGCGGGAUGCCUUACACAUGCAAGUCGAACGGCAGCACGGACUUCGGUCUGGUGGCGAGUGGCGAACGGGUGAGUAAUGUAUCGGAACGUGCCCAGUAGCGGGGGAUAACUACGCGAAAGCGUAGCUAAUACCGCAUACGCCCUACGGGGGAAAGCAGGGGAUCGCAAGACCUUGCACUAUUGGAGCGGCCGAUAUCGGAUUAGCUAGUUGGUGGGGUAACGGCUCACCAAGGCGACGAUCCGUAGCUGGUUUGAGAGGACGACCAGCCACACUGGGACUGAGACACGGCCCAGACUCCUACGGGAGGCAGCAGUGGGGAAUUUUGGACAAUAGGGGAAACCCUGAUCCAGCCAUCCCGCGUGUGCGAUGAAGGCCUUCGGGUUGUAAAGCACUUUUGGCAGGAAAGAAACGUCGCGGGUUAAUACCCCGCGAAACUGACGGUACCUGCAGAAUAAGCACCGGCUAACUACGUG